GGUCUUAUGGUCUAGUGGUAUGAUUCUCGCUUAGGGAAAUUCACCUUAGUGUUUUCAAGCUCCUGAGCACGUUUGCGAGAGGCCCCGCGUUCGAAUCGCGGUAAGACCC
rnacentral:tRNA from 1 species